rfam:Lachnospiraceae bacterium CAG:364 genomic scaffold, scf335
CAGAAUAAGAAGGGGAGCCGAAAGGCUGAGAGGAAGGACCGCUUCGACCCUUGUACCUGAUUUGGAUUAUGCCAACGUAGGAAUCUUUUUUUCAAGCUUU